ensembl:lincRNA
GACACCCCCGCACUGCCAGUACCCACCUUCUCGGACACCCCGGCACGGCCAGCCCUCGGACUGCAAACUCCCCUGGAGUCGCCUGGACUCUCCCGGCUCACCUCCACCCGCUGCGGGAGGACAGGCCUCACCCAGGCCUCCAGGGGCUCUGCGUGUAAUCAGCCUUCUCACCUUUGCCAAGGGCCCCAGGAGCCCACGGCCUCACACGCUCACAUGUGUGAGUCAUCUGGGGGCUUGGCAAACACGGUGUGACUCUGGUCUGCCUGGGAUGGGGCCCCAGACUACAUUUCCAACCACCUUGGGUGCUCUUGGUCCUGAGGGGCAGGAGUCCCCAGAGGGUCCCCUGCAGAGGUGGGCACUACCGCCCCCCCAGGCAGGAAAGAGGAAGAAUGGGCUGCCCACGGACCUGCGACCUCAGACCCCAGCCUUAGGCGCCUGCCAGGAAACCAGCUGUCUCCUGGGCACCAGGGCAGAAUGCCCCUGCAGGCUGCUGGUCAAGGGGCCCCACCUGGGUCGGCACAGGAUGCUGGGAGCAGCCCCACCCUGCCCACGGCAAAGUGCCCAUCUGCAGGAGUGGGGCCCAGUCUUGGCAGGGGCGCUGGUCAGCCCAGCUGGCCGGGCUCGCUUCGCCUGCAGUCCUGCCCAGCGGCCAUGUCCAGCAACUCCAGUCCCGUCCUACAACCGCCCGCUGGGAAGCAGGCCCGGAAGGUGGCACAGACGCCACUGCAUGGCACCCACACCUUGUCCACCAGCACGACUGCCUCGAGACACCUGCGAGGUUGUGUUGACAGAUGGUUCAUGUUGGAUUGCUGACCACGUCUCUCCUCGUAUGGAUGGAGAAUGGUUGGCCCUGUGGCCCGUUGAUGGGCAUUUGGGUGGUUCCCAAUUUGGGGGCAUUACCAAUAAAGCUGCUGUGAAUAUUUGCAUGCGAAUCUUUGUGUGGACAUUAUUAAUGCGUCCUUUCCUGUCGGGUAAAUACCUGUGCGUGGGAAGCAGGCCUGUCCAUGGUCCUCAGGCCCUCCGUCCAUCCGUCCGUCCAUCCAUCCAUCCCUCCGUCCAUCCAUCCAUCCAUCCAUCCGUCCCUCCAUCCAUCCCUCCAUCCAUCCCUCCAUCCCUCCAUCCAUCCAUCCAUCCCUCCAUCCAUCCGUCCAUCCGUCCAUCCAUCUGUCCAUCCCUCCAUCCAUCCAUCCAUCCAUCCCUCCAUCCAUCCCUCCAUCCAUCCCUCCAUCCAUCCGUCCGUCCGUCCAUCCGUCCAUCCAUCCGUCCAUCCCUCCACCCGUCCCUCCGUCCGUCCAUCCGUCCGUCUGUCCGUCCGUCCAUCCAUCCGUCCAUCCCUCCGUCCAUCCAUCCGUCCAUCCCUCCACCCGUCCCUCCGUCCGUCCAUCCCUCCCUCCAUCCAUCCAUCCGUCCAUCCAUCCAUCCCCAGGCCCUUGAAUCUAUUCCUCACUUCCACUGCAUAAGCAUAAGGGAUUUGAUUUGGGUCAUACCUGAAUGGUCUAGCGGUUUUCCCUUCUUUCUUCAGUUUAAGUCUGAAUUUGGCAAUAAGGAGUUCAUGAUCUGAGCCACAGUCAGCUCCCGGUCUUGUUUUUGUUGACUGUAUAGAGCUUCUCCAUCUCUGGCUGCAAAGAAUAUAAUCAGUCUGAUUUCGGUGUUGACCAUCUGGUGACGUCCAUGUGUAGAGUCUUCUCUUGCGUUGUUGGAAGAGGGUGUUUGCUAUGACCAGUGCGUUCUCUUGGCAAAACUCUAUUAGUCUUUGCCCUGCUUCAUUCUGCAUUCCAAGGCCAAAUUUGCCUGUUACUCCAGGUGUUUCUUGACUUCCUACUUUUGCAUUCCAGUCCCCUAUAAUGAAAAGGACAUCUUUUUUGGGUGUGAGUUCUAGAAGGUCUUGUAGGUCUUCAUAGAACCGUUCAACUUCAGCUUCUUCAGCAUUACUGGUUGGGGCAUAGACUUGGAUUACUGUGAUAUUGAAUGGUUUGCCUUGGAAACGAACAGAGAUCAUUCUGUCGUUUUUGAGAUUGCAUCCAAGUACUGCAUUUCGGACUCUUUUGUUGACCAUGAUGGCUACUCCAUUUCUUCUGAGGGAUUCCUGCCUGCAGUAGUAGAUGUAAUGGUCCUCUGAGUUAAAUUCACCCAUUCCAGUCCAUUUUAGUUCACUGAUUCCUAGAAUGUUGAUGUUCACUCUUGCCAUCUCCUGUUUGACCACUUCCAAUUUGCCUUGAUUCAUGGACCUGACAUUCCAGGUUCCGAUGCAAUAUUGCUCUUUACAGCAUCGGACCUUGCUUCUGUCACCAGUCACAUCCACAGCUGGGUGCUGUUUUCACUUUUGCUCCCUUCCUUCAUUCUUUCUGGAGUUAUUUCUCCACUGGUCUCCAGGAGCAUAUCAGGCACCUACCGACGUGGGGAGUGCCUCUUUCAAUGUCCUAUCUUUUUGCCUUUUCAUACUGUUCAUGGGGUUCUCGAGGCAAGAAUACUGAAGUGGUUUGCCAUUCCCUUCUCCAGUGGACCAUGUUUUGUCAGACCUCUCCAUGACCCGUCUAUCUUGGGUGGCCCUACACGCAUAGCUUAGCUUCAUUGCGUUAGACAAGCUGUGGGCCUUGUGAUUGGAUUGGUUAGUUUUCUGUGAUUGUGGUUUCAGUCUGUCUGCCGUCUGAUGCUCUCUCUCAACGUCUACCAUCUUAGCGAGGUUUCUCUUACCUUGGACCUGGGGUAAAAAGUAAUGAAAAAAAAAUUUUUUUUAAUGCAAAAAAGCAAAACGGCUGCCUGAGGAGGCCCUACAAAUAGCUGUGAAAAGAAAAGAGAAAAGCAAAGGAGAAAAGGGAAGAUAUACCCAUUUGAAUGCAGAAUUCCAAAGAAUAGCAAGGAGAGAUAAGAAAGCCUUCCUAAGUGAUCUGUGCAAAGAAAUAAAGGAAAAUUAUAGAAUGGGAAAGACUAGAGAUCUCUUCAAGAAAAUUAGAGAUACCAAGGGAACACUUCAUGCAAAGAUGGGCUCGAUAAAGGACAGAAAUGGUAUGGACCUAACAGAAGCAGAAGAUAUUAAGAAGAGGUGGCAAGAAUACACAGAAGAACUGUACAAAAAAGAUC